GCCUCGCAAGAGGAAUUCGGAGACAGGUGCUGCAUGGCUGUCGUCAGCUCGUGUCGUGAGAUGUUGGGUUAAGUCCCGCAACGAGCGCAACCCUUGUCUUUAGUUGCCAUCAUUAAGUUGGGCACUCUAAAGAGACUGCCGGUGUCAACCGGAGGAAGGUGGGGAUGACGUCAAGUCCUCAUGGCCUUUAUGACCAGGGCUACACACGUACUACAAUGGCAGGUACAAAGGGCAGCCACUUAGCGAUAAGGCGCGAAUCCCAUAAAACCUGUCUCAGCCCGGAUUGGAGUCUGCAACUCGACUCCAUGAAGUUGGAAUCGCUAGUAAUCGCAGAUCAGCACGCUGCGGUGAAUACGUUCCCGGGCCUU
rnacentral:rRNA from 1 species